ACCCAACAGAUCGCCCCACUCCUCGAGUAAGAUGGAUGGUUCAUGUCAAAACGGCAUCUUUGUUUACUCGACGAGUCCCCCCUCUCUCCCCCAGUCGGGUAUAAGUGUUGUC
ensembl:ncRNA F42E11.6 ncRNA